AGAGUUUGAUCCUGGCUCAGAACGUACGCUGGCGGCACGCCUAACACAUGCAAGUCGAACGAAGUAGCAAUACUUAGUGGCAGACGGGUGAGUAACAUGUAGGUAUCUGCCCUUUGGCCUGGAAUAACACGAAGAAACUUGUGCUAAUACCGGAUAAGUCUUUACGGAGAAAGCUUUAUGCACCAUUGGAUGAGCCUGCACUUGAUUAGUUUGUUGGUGGGGUAAUGGCCUACCAAGACUGUGAUCAAUAGCUGAUUUGAGAGGAUGAUCAGCCACAUUGGGACUGAGACACGGCCCAAACUCCUACGGGAGGCAGCAGUGGGGAAUCUUGCACAAUGGAGGAAACUCUGAUGCAGCGAUGCCGCGUGAGUGAAGAAGGCCCUUGGGUUGUAAAGCUCUUUCGUCGGGGAAGAAAAUGACUGUACCCGAAUAAGAAGGUCCGGCUAACUUCGUGCCAGCCGCCGCGGUAAUAC
rnacentral:rRNA from 1 species